rnacentral:rRNA from 1 species
UCGAACGCGAAAGUCCCGCAAGGGAUCGGUAGAGUGGCAAACGGGUGAGUAACACGUGGGUGACCUGCCUUCGAGUGGGGGAUAACGUCCCGAAAGGGACGCUAAUACCGCAUGACAUCCUGCCUUUGAAGAGGCGGGGAUCAAAGCUGGGGAUCGCAAGACCUGGCGCUUGAAGAGGGGCCCGCGCCCGAUUAGCUAGUUGGUGGGGUAAUGGCCUACCAAGGCAACGAUCGGUAGCCGGCCUGAGAGGGCGGACGGCCACACUGGGACUGAGACACGGCCCAGACUCCUACGGGAGGCAGCAGUGGGGAAUUGUUCGCAAUGGGCGCAAGCCUGACGACGCAACGCCGCGUGGAGGAUGAAGAUCUUCGGGUCGUAAACUCCUUUCGAUCGAGACGAAUGGCCUUCGGGUGAACAGCCUGGAGGAAUGACGGUACCGAGAGAAGAAGCCCCGGCUAACUCCGUGCCAGCAGCCGCGGUAAUACGGGGGGGGCAAGCGUUGUUCGGAAUUACUGGGCGUAAAGGGCUCGUAGGUGGCCAACUAAGUCAGACGUGAAAUCCCUCGGCUUAACCGGGGAACUGCGUCUGAUACUGGAUGGCUGGAGUCCGGGAGAGGGAUGCGGAAUUCCAGGUGUAGCGGUGAAAUGCGUAGAUAUCUGGAGGAACACCGGUGGCGAAGGCGGCAUCCUGGACCGGCACU